AUUGAACGCUGGCGGCAUGCCUUACACAUGCAAGUCGAACGGCAGCGGGCCUUCGGGUGCCGGCGAGUGGCGAACGGGUGAGUAAUGCAUCGGAACGUGCCAUUGAGUGGGGGAUAACGUAGCGAAAGUUGCGCUAAUACCGCAUAUUCUGUGAGCAGGAAAGCAGGGGACCGCAAGGCCUUGCGCUCUUUGAGCGGCCGAUGUCAGAUUAGCUAGUUGGUGGGGUAAAGGCCUACCAAGGCGACGAUCUGUAGCGGGUCUGAGAGGAUGAUCCGCCACACUGGAACUGAGACACGGUCCAGACUCCUACGGGAGGCAGCAGUGGGGAAUUUUGGACAAUGGGGGCAACCCUGAUCCAGCCAUGCCGCGUGAGUGAAGAAGGCC
rnacentral:rRNA from 1 species